rnacentral:misc_RNA from 1 species
UUAAUAACAGUGAAAACUGCAAAUAUUAUCAGAUAUAAUUUAGCAUUAAAUCGAUGUUUUAAAUGUAUAUUAUACUCUUAAUAAUUUAGUAUCAACUAUCAAAUAAUUUUUGGAUUUUAUAGUACAUUUUUGGAAUCAAUCUUGUUGUGCAAAGUCAAAAUUAGGCCAGUUUUCUCCGCUUAACUGAUCACUAAGGAGUUUAUAACACAAUUCACAAUUUAGAAGUCACUAAUAGCAUUGUAAUAGAUAUUUUCUCAAACUACCCUAAAGUGUUUGAAAAGUUAACGACUGCCAGCUCAUUGCUGUUUUUAGAUUUUAGAUUUUAGAAUGGUAAAAGUUUAUUUUAUCAAAUUGCUGUAUUACUAAUGAUGUGCAACAGUUGCUCUUUUUUUCUCUUUUUUUUUCUAUUACAACUCUAAUAUUCUUUAGUUUUAUUAUAAAUAUUUAUUAUAAAAUUUUAUUUUAUUUUGUAAUUCUCAUAAAAUUUUAGUUUAAUGAUGUUCACUUGUUAUGAUUGUUAUUGUAUCAGUUUUAGUUUUGUCGUAUUUAUUUUGAUUUUGUUGAAUUAAUUAAAUUUGGUUAUUUUUUUUAUUCCUAAUUUUUAUUGUUAAUUUUUUAAAGUUAUUAGUAGAUAUAUUUAUUGGUUUAAUUUUUUUAUUUAGUAUUUGUAGAUAGAAACAGAUGUUUAACAUAAUUUUGAAAUGAAACACUUUCAAGUAAGCGGUAUGU